GACAGAGGGUGCGAACGUUGUUCGGAAUUACUGGGCGUAAAGGGCUCGUAGGCGGCCAACUAAGUCAGACGUGAAAUCCCUCGGCUUAACCGGGGAACUGCGUCUGAUACUGGAUGGCUUGAGUUUGGGAGAGGGAUGCGGAAUUCCAGGUGUAGCGGUGAAAUGCGUAGAUAUCUGGAGGAACACCGGUGGCGAAGGCGGCAUCCUGGACCAACACUGACGCUGAGUGAGCGAAAGCCAGGGGAGCAAACGGG
rnacentral:rRNA from 1 species